UACAGAGGGGGCAAGCGUUAUUCGGAAUUAUUGGGCGUAAAGGGCGCGUAGGCGGCCUGGCAAGUGGAAGGUGAAAUCCCUCGGCUUAACCGAGGAACUGCCCUCCAAACUGCUUGGCUUGAGACCGGGAGAGGUGAGUGGAAUUCCCAGUGUAGCGGUGAAAUGCGUAGAUAUUGGGAGGAACACCAGUGGCGAAGGCGGCUCACUGGACCGGUACUGACGCUGAGGCGCGAAAGCGUGGGGAGCAACGGGA
rnacentral:rRNA from 1 species